CUCCUUUAGGAUGGAUUAGUUGGGUCUCCUUGCAAUCCAAGGGACUCUCAAGAGUCUUCUCCAACACCACAUUCAAAAGCAUCAAUUCUUUGGUGCUCAGCCUUCUCUAUGGUCCAACUCUCACAUCCAUACAUGACUACUG